CACACCUGUUCGAGAUCUUUUUCCAGGGACUGGCACCAGAUAACAGUCCCCGUAAGAAUGUAAUUUCUUUGAUCUGGAACUGGGGAGGCAAAGUGAUGGCUCCAGAGAUACGAAUUUCCAAAGUUGUAUCUAAAGAUAGCCUCUUUGGUGAUCAGCCGGUUGGUCCUCCGCAUUUCGUUCAACACAGCGGUCAUCCAGUCCUCCACGCGCCCCUCCGCCCGGAUGAUCUUGCGGAACUCCAUG